rnacentral:rRNA from 1 species
GCUUACCCUGUGAAGGAAACAUAGUAAGCAAAAUUAGCAUAGCCCAAAACGCCAGGUCGAGGUGUAGCAUAUGAGAGGGGAAGAAAUGGGCUACAUUCCCUGUCUUUCUGGGAACACGAACAAUGUAAUGAAACAUACAUUAGAAGGAGGAUUUAGCAGUAAGCAUAAAAUAGAGUGUUCUGCUGAAAUUGGCCCUGAAGCGCGCACACACCGCCCGUCACCCUCCCUCACCCAACAAUUAAAGACUUCACAUCUUUCUACGUAAGGGGAGGCAAGUCGUAACAUGG